GCCGUGAUCGUAUAGUGGUUAGUACUCUGCGUUGUGGCCGCAGCAUUCCCCGGUUCGAAUCCGGGUCACGGCA